AUGCACGCUGGCGGCGUGCCUAAUACAUGCCAGUCGCGCGAACAGACGAGGAGCUUGCUCCCCUGACGUUAGCGGCGGACGGGUGAGUAACACGUGGAUAACCUACCUAUAAGACUGGGAUAACUUCGGGAAACCGGAGCUAAUACCGGAUAAUAUAUUGAACCGCAUGGUUCAAUAGUGAAAGACGGUUUUGCUGUCACUUAUAGAUGGAUCCGCGCCGCAUUAGCUAGUUGGUAAGGUAACGGCUUACCAAGGCAACGAUGCGUAGCCGACCUGAGAGGGUGAUCGGCCACACUGGAACUGAGACACGGUCCAGACUCCUACGGGAGGCAGCAGUAGGGAAUCUUCCGCAAAGGGCGAAAGCCUGACGGAGCAACGCCGCGUGAGUGGUGAAGGUCUUCGGAUCGUAAAACUCUGUUAUUAGGGAAGAACAAAUGUGUAAGUAACUAUGCACGUCUUGACGGUACCUAAUCAGAAAGCCACGGCUAACUACGUG
rnacentral:rRNA from 1 species